rnacentral:rRNA from 1 species
UACGUAGGGGGCAAGCGUUGUCCGGAAUCAUUGGGCGUAAAGCGCACGUAGGCGGUUCGUUAUGUCAGAUGUGAAAGCCCUUGGCUCAACUGAGGAAGUGCAUCUGAAACUGGCGAGCUAGAGUAUGUAAGAGGGUCGCGGAAUUCCCGGUGUAGAGGUGAAAUGCGCAGAUAUCGGGAGGAACACCUAUGGCGAAGGCAGCUCGCUGGGACGUUACUGACGCUGAGACGCGAAAGCGUGGGGAGCAAACAGG